rnacentral:rRNA from 1 species
AUGUCGCAAGCCACCAAAGAAGGAAAAGCUUUCCUAGCAAAGGGAGGUGAUAAUCAGCCUGAGAUGCUGAUGGUAGAGAUGUGCGAGCUCAUGGAAGAUGAGCAGAUUGAAGAACGUCCAAAGCACAUGCUCGUGCCUAAAGAGGUUCAGGUAGAGAAAAUACAGAGAAAGCUCACUGAAUAUGUGACACUUGUAGAGGAUAAAGUGCAUCUGCAGCAGAAGGAAAAGGUUGAAGCUGGUGGGAAUGUCUGGUACUUGGACUCCGGAGCGAGUAAUCACAUGACCGGUGAUAUUGAUCAAUUUUAUGAGUUGAAUACUUCAGUUCGAGGCACUGUAAAAUUUGGAGAUGCCUCGAUAGUGCAGAUUUGUGGUCGCGGAACCGUGUUAUUUGAGACACGCAAGGGAGAACACAAGGUGCUGACAGAUGUGUAUUUCAUCCCGAGACUGAAGAGUAGCAUUAUAAGUCUUGGCCAACUGGAAGAGCGCGGUUGCAAGAUCGUCAUUGAGGAUGGAAUGAUGUUGGUGUUUGACCGUCAGCGUACACUACUCGCACGCGUGAAGCGCUCAAGGAAUCGCCUCUACAUACUGAACCUUGAUCGUGCCGACCCAGUUUGUUUGCUCGCUGGUAUGCAGGAGGAUGCCUGGAGAUGGCAUGCACGCUACGGUCAUCUGAAUUUCCGAGCGUUGUGUACACUAGGGCAGAAGGAGAUGGUACACGGUCUACCAAGAAUUGAGCAUGUCGAGCAACUUUGUGAUGGUUGUCUCGUUGGGAAACAGAAGCGUAACCCGUUCCCCUAUGAGGCAAAUUUCAGAGCAAGCAAGUUUAUGGACUUGAUGCAUGGUGAUUUGUGUGGACCAAUCACACCUGCUACCCCAGCUGGUAAUCGAUAUUUUUUGCUAAUUGUCGAUGACUAUAGCAGGUUCAUGUGGAUCGUGUUGUUGAAGACCAAAGAUCAGGCUUUUGAAGCAUUUAGAAAGGUCAAGGUUGCAGCCGAAGUAGAAGCUGAAGCAAAGUUGAAAGCUCUCAGAACGGAUAGAGGUGGUGAGUUCAGAUCCAAGAGGUUCAAUGCCUAUUGUGAAGAACAUGGCAUUAGAAGGUACUUGACGGCUCCCUACACACUGCAGCAAAACGGCGUGGUCGAGAGAAGAAACCAAACGAUUGUAGCUAUGGCACAGAGCAUGUUAAAGAGUAAAAAUAUGCCCAGAAGAUUUUGGGGGGAGGCUGUUACCAUAGCAGUCUAUUUGCUCAAUCGAGCGCCCACCAAAAGUGUGAUCGGAAAGACUCCGUACGAAGCAUGGUGCGGGAGGAAACCUACUGUGGAACACUUGCGCACAUUCGGUUGUGUAGCUCAUGUAAAAACAGUAGGAGGUCACAUUGGAAAGCUAGAAGACCGCAGCACACCGAUGGUGUUGCUUGGAUAUGAGCAUGGAUCAAAAGCAUACCGAGUAUAUGACCCUCGUACAAGGAUGCUAAGAGUAACUCGAGAUGUUGUCUUUGAAGAAGCAAAAGCAUGGAAUUGGGAUUCUGCAACUGAACCAGCUCCGCAUUCUUCAGGUGAUAUAUUUAAGGUGUUUUAUGAUCAUCAUGAUGCAGGUCACGACGAGCACAAUCAUGACCAUGGGGACAAAGGGAAGUACCGAGCACGCCCGUUGUACAAGGCGGUGCUCCGGAGUUUGUGGAUUUAG